GAGGAAGGUGGGGAUGACGUCAAAUCAUCAUGCCCCUUAUGUCUUGGGCUUCACGCAUGCUACAAUGGCCAGUACAAUGGGUUGCGAUGCCGUGAGGUGGAGCUAAUCCCAAAAAGCUGGUCUCAGUUCGGAUCGUGGUCUGCAACUCGACCACGUGAAGUCGGAGUCGCUAGUAAUCGCAGAUCAGCAACGCUGCGGUGAAUACGUUCCCGGGCCUUGUACACACCGCCCGUCAAGUCACGAAAGUUGGUAACACCCGAAGCCGGUGGCCUAACCCUUGUGGGGGGAGCCGUCGAAGGUGGGACUGGCGAUUGGGACUAAGUCGUAACAAGGUAGCGUACCGGAAGGUGCGGCUGGAUCACCUCCUUUCUAAGGAGCACUGUGGCUGGCCGUGUGGCCGGCACCCACGAUCCUCGUCAUUUUCGGCGGGGUGUGGUUGAUGCUCAUGGGUGGAAUAUCAGCAAGCGGACACGCUGUGCCCUGACACGGGAACACGACCGGACACGAGUUCUGGUGGUGGUGUUGGGGUGGCGGCGUGGUGGCACAUUGUUGGGUUGUCGAUCAACACGUCAGUGUUGGUUGGUUUCCCGCAGCAUCACGAGACUGGGAUGGUUGUCCUGGUGAGGUGGUGUUGGUGGGUUGUUGUUUGUCAACUACAUAGUGGACGCGAGCAUCUUUGACGCCGCGCACCUGGAAGGGUGUUUGGUGUGUUCUUUGAUGAUUUAUUUGUGUUGUGUGGCGUAUAAGUUGUUACGAGGACACGGUGGAUGCCUUGGC
rnacentral:sRNA from 1 species